UACGUAGGGGGCUAGCGUUGUCCGGAUUUAUUGGGCGUAAAGAGCGUGUAGGCGGCCAGGUAGGUCUGCUGUGAAAACUCGAGGCUUAACCUCGAGAUGUCGGCGGAAACCAUCUGGCUAGAGUCCGGAAGAGGAGAGUGGAAUUCCUGGUGUAGCGGUGAAAUGCGCAGAUAUCAGGAAGAACACCCGUGGCGAAGGCGGCUCACUGGACCACAACUGACGCUGAGGCGCGAAAGCUAGGGGAGCAAACAGG
rnacentral:rRNA from 1 species